rfam:Atta cephalotes unplaced genomic scaffold scaffold00029, whole genome shotgun sequence.
UAAUCUGCCUUUUUCAAGGCAAUCAAAUAUUUUAUUAUGAAGAACAU